rnacentral:rRNA from 1 species
UACGUAGGGAGCGAGCGUUGUCCGGAAUUACUGGGUGUAAAGGGAGCGUAGGUGGAUUGUUAAGUCAGUUGUGAAAGUUUGCGGCUCAACCGUAAAAUUGCAGUUGAAACUGGCAGUCUUGAGUACAGUAGAGGUGGGCGGAAUUCGUGGUGUAGCGGUGAAAUGCAUAGAUAUCACGCAGAACUCCGAUUGCGAAGGCAGCAUACCGGCGCGCAACUGACGCUCAUGCACGAAAGCGUGGGUAUCGAACAGG